rnacentral:lncRNA from 1 species
GACAUGGUGGAGUAAUAAUUGUGGUGGGGUGGAACUACCACAAAGUGGUUGGUGGCUGAUAACGGAUACUACGGUACUCCACUCUCCACUAUUUGCGUACUCCUAGUUGGGGGAUUUCAAUCCAGUACAACGACAACCGCGUCUGCACACGCCUCAUUUAUACUUGCUCCAACCAAGUCUCGUUCAAUAGUCCCAGUUUUAUCGAUAAAUGAAAUAGACGAAAAUGGUGCCUGAACGUGAAUUGUUCUAUUUACACACAACACAGUACCAUUAUAGAUGGUUUACGACAAAAUGCAAAAAGGCAUCGAUUUUAUUCGGAAAGUGCUUUGCCCUUAAGUUGCACGGUUUAUCGGGAUUAUGUAUAUAAGCUCCCUUUGGAAUUGGCAUGCAUUGAACUGCAAUGUAACAGGCCUCAAUUGUUAUUAGUGAGGUUUGAAUUUUGCUUAAAAGGUUCAUUUUCAGAGCAGUUAGAGACGAGAGGGUUUUUGGGCAAAUACUUAUUGCCCUAUUGGAUGUAUGUUUUUGAAUUCAUGCCCUAUAUGGUGCGUCUGGACUUACCCUAUGCUGACAGCCCUUCUUUUCGGGAUACCCUUCGUGGGAUCAGCACCUAUAAGAGACGCAAGACAUUAGUGAGAGAAGCUGUAGUUCAGUGUUCAGAAAUCUUCAGCCUUGUUAUAUAAACAUAUUACUUAUUCAUGUUAUCUUUAGUUAUACAUUCUCACAUUCGAUAACAUAUGUGAGACUGGUGGAGAAGAUAAAUCAGUCGAGCAAUUCAGAUUUGAAAGUCAUCUCUAAUUACCAUAAUAGCCAAGUUAUUUAAAAAGUGUGUCCAAUGCAUUGAGAACAACAAACGUUCCCAGAGCUUUGUCCAGUGUUAUGCGAAUAAUGAAAUCAAGCCAGGGCGUCGACAAUAACUGGUUUGUUGAAUUCUGCCAGCCCUUAUUGGAAAAACUACCCUUAUUUUGUACUAACCUGCUACGGGAUGUGUAACAGCUGACAUCUGAAUUAAAAACCAUGCGGGUGGCCUAUAUUGAUGGCUUCCUCAAAGCACAAACAACACAACUCUAUGGUUGAACAACAUUUAGCCGAAGUAUUUUUAAUUUAAAAUAAGCAUUUCCCUCUAAGUUAAAUUUAUGUUUACAACAAAACGGCAGCCAUGUUCUAAAUUCGUGACAUGGUGGUGGGAGGAUUGUUAAUGACACUAUAGGGGUGUGUUCAAAAGUAUUUUCCCCAAUAAAAUUUUAUUUACAUUA